CGAUAAGCGGAAGCCUCGCCAAGGUGGUGAACCAUUUGGUGUUUGCCCUUUUCGGAGCAGCAGUGAGACAUGUUACGUCUCAAAAUCGCCAACUACUUGCCAGAUUGAGUUUCCUAUGAGGCCAGAAACUUUUGAUGAAGACCCAAAUCAACAUGAUCGACUUCCAAAUAUAAUCAUCCAACUCCCUCUUAUGCAAGACUUGAUGGCAAAUAAGAUUCAGAUGCUUCUUGUACAUCAACGCCAGAAGUUCCAAGCUACGUUGAUUGAUUAUGACUUAGAGGUUGGCAAAAUAUUUGCCUCUAUCAAGCAAUGUUUGAAUACUAUUGGUACAAAGCAGUCCAAUCUAGCUGCUACAUUUGGAGAAUUGAUUGAUGAGGUUCUU